CCUUGUCUGCCAGAGCUCUACUUAGGAUAAUAUUUCCUAGAAAGUGCCCCAGACCUGCCAGCUAACGUCAUUUAUUUCAGCAAUGUACAAACCAUGCCUUGUGGGGUAAGGAGGCUAUCAGGAUGCCCUCAAACACUUAGCUUAAAAAGUAUCCUUGUUGGAGGAGGAGUAACGCACAACUUGGAGCUAGCUGAACACAUCAGGUUUAAUUGACAUUAACGUUUCACAUCUGCCCAUCCGUGUCAGACCUGAUGACAUGGAG